rnacentral:rRNA from 1 species
GACGAACGCUGGCGGCGUGCUUAACACAUGCAAGUCGAACGAUAAGCAGAGCUUGCUCUGUGGAUUAGUGGCGAACGGGUGAGUACCACGUGAGUAACCUGCCCUCCACUCUGGGAUAACUGCUAGAAAUGGUAGCUAAUACCGGAUAUGACAACUGGCCGCAUGGUCUGGUUGUGGAAAGAAUUUCGGUGGGGGAUGGACUCGCGGCCUAUCAGCUUGUUGGUGAGGUAAUGGCUCACCAAGGCGACGACGGGUAGCCGGCCUGAGAGGGUGACCGGCCACACUGGGACUGAGACACGGCCCAGACUCCUACGGGAGGCAGCAGUGGGGAAUAUUGCACAAUGGGCGCAAGCCUGAUGCAGCAACGCCGCGUGAGGGACGACGGCCUUCGGGUUGUAAACCUCUUUUAGUAGGGAAGAAGCGAAAGUGACGGUACCUGCAGAAAAAGCACCGGCUAACUACGUGCCAGCAGCCGCGGUAAUACGUAGGGUGCAAGCGUUGUCCGGAAUUAUUGGGCGUAAAGAGCUCGUAGGCGGUUUGUCGCGUCUGCUGUGAAAACCCGAGGCUCAACCUCGGGCCUGCAGUGGGUACGGGCAGACUAGAGUGCGGUAGGGGAGAUUGGAAUUCCUGGUGUAGCGGUGGAAUGCGCAGAUAUCAGGAGGAACACCGAUGGCGAAAGCAGAUCUCUGGGCCGUAACUGACGCUGAGGAGCGAAAGCAUGGGGAGCGAACAGGAUUAGAUACCCUGGUAGUCCAUGCCGUAAACGUUGGGAACUAGAUGUAGGGACCAUUCCACGGUUUCUGUGUCGCAGCUAACGCAUUAAGUUCCCCGCCUGGGGAGUACGGCCGCAAGGCUA